GUAAGAGGGUCGAGUAAACUGUA
rnacentral:siRNA from 1 species